UACAGCAGCACCUUCAGGGUUUAGCUUUUGUCAAGCCUCCGGUUUUGGGUCUAGUAAUACUGGUUCUGUGUUUGGUCAGGCAGCCAGUAGCGGUGGGUCAGUCUUUGGCCAGUCAUCCACUUCCAGUGGCAGCGUGUUUGGGUCUGGAAAUGCUACAAGAGGGGGCGGUUUCUUCAGUGGCCUUGGAGGAAAACCCAGCCAGGAUGCUGCCAACAAAAACCCAUUCAGCUCGGCCAGUGGGGGCUUUGGGUCUACGCCUACACCCAAUACCUCUAACCUGUUCGGGAACAGCGGAGCUAAGACCUUCGGAGGGUUCGGCUCCUCCUUCGGGGAGCAGAAGCCUGCUGGCACAUUCAGCUCUGGUGGUGGGAGCGUGGCAUCCCAAGGUUUUGGAUUUUCCACUCCAAAUAAAACAGGUGGCUUCGGUGCUGCUCCAGUGUUUGGCAGCCCUCCUACUUUUGGGGGAUCCCCUGGGUUUGGAGGGGUGCCAGCAUUCGGUUCAGCCCCAGCCUUUACAAGCCCUCUGGGCUCGACGGGAGGCAAAGUGUUCGGAGAGGGUACUGCGGCCGCCAGCGCAGGAGGAUUCGGGUUCGGGAGUAGCAGCAACACUGCAUCCUUCGGUACCCUCGCCAGUCAGAACGCACCCACUUUCGGAUCCUUGUCCCAGCAGACCUCUGGCUUCGGGACCCCGAGCAGUGGAUUCUCUGGGUUUGGAUCAGGCACAGGAGCAUUCACCUUCGGAUCAUCUAACUCGUCUGUCCAGGGCUUCGGUGGCUGGAGAAGCUGAGCCGACGUCAGCCUUCCCUGAGGCUGCUGUGAGCUCCUGUAGGCAGCCCUCCACUCUCCAGGCGCCCACAGGAACAGACUCUCAGAAGAACUCUCAUGAAGAUGCUCCGCCAGGAAGAAGCAUUGGAGACCAAAGCUCAGCAGUGCUUGACUGCCUCUUCCCCACCUUCAGAUUUUGCAUCAAGUUUUCCUCUGCUAUUAAAGUGUUUGGGCUGGUUCUGCACAGAA
rnacentral:lncRNA from 1 species